GCGACAGUGGUGUAGUGGUUAGCAUAGUUGCCUUCCAAGCAGUUGAUCCGGGUUCGAU
rnacentral:tRNA from 1 species